CUCAGGCUGCAUUCUUCCUGGGGCCACGGUAACAGGAUCCAGUCUGACCUCUCUCGGGUUUUCUGCACUUCUCCUUGGGGUCACAGAGGACAUGAUCACCACCCACCUCUCCAUCAGUGAACCGUGAGGAAGGGGAUGAGGGUCCUGGGACCCAGAUGGACAUCUUCCCUCGGGAAUCUGGCUGGAAUGACCAUGGGCCCCGUUCC